ACCAGCACCUGUUCACCAGUCUCCAUCUCCGCCUAAGAGUCCGUACAAGUCUCCACCACCGAAACCUUAUUUAUACAAGUCUCCUCCACCACCACCUCCUGUUCACAAGUCUCCACCUCCACCCAAGAGUCCACACAAGUCUCCGCCACCGAAACCUUACUUGUACAAGUCUCCUCCACCACCACCUCCUAUUCACAAGUCUCCAUCUGCACCUAAGAGUCCGUACAAGUCUCCACCACCAAAACCUUAUUUAUACAAGUCUCCUCCACCACCACCCCCUGUUCACAAGUCUCCAGCUCCACCCAAGAGUCCACACAAGUCUCCGCCACCGAAACCUUAUUUACACAAGUCUCCUCCACCACCACCUCCUGUUCACAAAUCCCCACCUUCACCUAAGAGUCCAUACAAGCACAAUUCUCCACCACCACCUUCACCUAACAGACCCUACAAAAACAAGUCUCCUCCACCACCACCACAUAAUAUACCCUACAAGUACAAGUCACCCCCACCACCAGUGUACAAAUCACCACCAUCACCGCCUCCCAUCUAUGAGUCUCCACCACCACCACCGAAGAGUCCCUAUGUUUACAAGUCCCCACCACCACCACCACCAAUGAAACCCUACAAGUACACCUCCCCACCACCACCAAAGAGUCCCUACACGUACACUUCUCCCCCUCCUCCUCAUCACUACUGAUCGAUAUCCCAUUAAGGUGUUAUAAAAGGUGAAC
rnacentral:lncRNA from 1 species